UACGAAGGGGGCUAGCGUUGCUCGGAAUCACUGGGCGUAAAGGGUGCGUAGGCGGGUCUUUAAGUCAGGGGUGAAAUCCUGGAGCUCAACUCCAGAACUGCCUUUGAUACUGAAGAUCUUGAGUUCGGGAGAGGUGAGUGGAACUGCGAGCGUAGAGGUGAAAUUCGUAGAUAUUAGGAAGAACACCAGUGGCGAAGGCGGCUCACUGGUCCGGUACUGACGCUGAGGUGCGAAAGCGUGGGGAGCAAACAGG
rnacentral:rRNA from 1 species